UAGGGAAUAUUGCUCAAUGGGCGAAAGCCUGAAGCAGCAACGCCGCGUGUGCGAUGAAGGCCUUCGGGUCGUAAAGCACUUUUCUGAGAGAUGAGAAAGGACAGUAUCUCAGGAAUAAGUCUCGGCUAACUACGUGCCAGCAGCCGCGGUAAAACGUAGGAGGCAAGCGUUAUCCGGAUUCACUGGGCGUAAAGCGCGUGCAGGCGGUUCGGUAAGUUGGGCGUGAAAUCUCCUGGCUUAACUAGGAGAGGUCGUUCAAUACUACCGGACUUGAGAGUGGUAGAGGAAGAUGGAAUUCCCGGUGUAGUGGUGAAAUGCGUAGAUAUCGGGAGGAACACCAGUGGCGAAAGCGAUCUUCUGGACCAUUUCUGACGCUCAGACGCGAAAGCUAGGGUAGUAAACGG
rnacentral:rRNA from 1 species